rnacentral:rRNA from 1 species
UACGAAGGGGGCUAGCGUUGCUCGGAAUCACUGGGCGUAAAGCGCACGUAGGCGGCUUCUAAGUCAGGGGUGAAAUCCUGGAGCUCAACUCCAGAACUGCCUUCGAUACUGGAAAGCUCGAGUCCGGGAGAGGUGAGUGGAACUGCGAGUGUAGAGGUGAAAUUCGUAGAUAUUCGCAAGAACACCAGUGGCGAAGGCGGCUCAGCUGGCCCGGUAC